rnacentral:rRNA from 1 species
AGUGAACGCUGGCGGUAGGCCUAACACAUGCAAGUCGAACGGCAGCACAGGAGAGCUUGCUCUCUGGGUGGCGAGUGGCGGACGGGUGAGGAAUACAUCGGAAUCUACCUUUUUCGUGGGGGUAUAACGUAGGGAAACUUCCGCUAAUACCGCAUACGACCUACGGGUGAAAGUGGGGGCACCGCAAGGCCUCACGCGAUUAGAUGAGCCGAUGUCCGAUUAGCUAGUUGGCGGGGUAAUGGCCCACCAAGGCACGAUCGGUAGCUGGUCUGAGAGGAUGAUCAGCUACACUGGAACUGAGACACGGUCCAGACUCCUACGGGAGGCAGCAGU